AGAGUUUGAUCCGUGGCUCAGAACGAACGCUGGCGGCAUGCCUAACACAUGCAAGUCGAACGAGACCUUCGGGGUCUAGUGGCGCACGGGUGCGUAACGCGUGGGAAUUCUGCCCUGGGGUGCGGAAUAACUCGGAGAAAUCCGUGCUAAUACCGCAUAAUUGUCUUCGGACCAAAGAUUUAUCGCCCUGGGAUGAGCCCGCGUAGGAUUAGCUAGUUGUGGGGUAAAGGCCUACCAAGGCGACGAUCCUUAGCUGGGUCUGAGAGGAUGAUCAGCCACACUGGGACUGAGACACGGCCCAGACUCCUACGGGAGGCAGCAGUGGGGAAUAUUGGGACAAUGGGCGAAAGCCGUGAUCCAGCAAUGCCGCGUGAGUGAUGAAGGCCCUAGGGUUGUAAAGCUCUUUUACCCGGGAUGAUAAUGACAGUACCGGGAGAAUAAGCUCCGGCUAACUCCGUG
rnacentral:rRNA from 1 species